GGAUGUGAUCAUACUACCACUAAAGCACCGGAUCCCAUCAGAACUCCGAAGUUAAGCGUGCUUGGGCGACAGUAGUACUAAGAUGGGUGACCUCCUGGGAAGUCCUCGUGUUGCAUUCC
rnacentral:rRNA from 1 species